ACACCAGUCAGCACCCUGUGUCUAGCUCAGGGUUUGUGAAUGCACCAAUUGACACUCUGUAUCUAGCUACUCUGGUGGGGUCUUGGAGAACCUUUGUGUGGACACGGAGUUACUGUCAAGAAGCAGAUUCACAGUCUAAUUAAGGAACAUUAACCACCCUCUGGGUAAGAGUCCUUAUACCACCUGACCAGCAGGAUUUCAGAAUUACUAGGGAUGUGUGACAGUUCUGUGUUCCUCAUUCAUCCCUUUUCCAAAUGAGGUAUUCUUCUGUCCCUAUACCACUAGAAUCUGAUAUAAAUAGUACUGUGCAUCAUUCAGAUAUUUGGACAUUCAGUUUGACUGUGAGAGUGGAUGAGAGCUUAAUGUGGUCUUUCUUUGGGGAUGAAUAAGUGCAUUUUUUGCCUAGGGGAAGAAGGGUAGUAGUCUAGUAUUUGGUGACCAGAAGGAUAAACUUUGGUAGUCUUAGGGAA
rnacentral:lncRNA from 1 species